rnacentral:rRNA from 1 species
UACAGAGGGGGCAAGCGUUGUUCGGAAUUACUGGACGUAAAGGGCGCGUAGGCGGCCUGUUAAGUCGAACGUGAAAUCCCCGGGCUCAACCCGGGAACUGCGUCCGAUACUGGCAGGCUUGAAUCCGGGAGAGGGAUGCGGAAUUCCAGGUGUAGCGGUGAAAUGCGUAGAUAUCUGGAGGAACACCGGUGGCGAAGGCGGCAUCCUGGACCGGUAUUGACGCUGAGGCGCGAAAGCCAGGGGAGCAAACGGG